CUGCUCUUGAGGAUGGUAAUCCUUACAAACAAACGCUUGAAAAUAUAUAAAUUCUAAAUUUUACAACCAAACUUUUGAAGUUUAAUAGUUACUACUAAAUCGCAGUACAUUCACAUUAUGCAUAUAAAAUACUACAAACUAUUUGUGUGUCAUUGAAAUGUCUAUAGGUAAAUGAAACAUAUCCCUUAAUGAUUUACAUUUACA